rnacentral:rRNA from 1 species
UACGUAGGGGGCUAGCGUUGUCCGGAAUCAUUGGGCGUAAAGAGCGUGUAGGCGGUCCGGUAAGUCCGCUGUGAAAGUCGGGGGCUCAACCCUCGAAUGCCGGUGGAUACUGUCGGGCUAGAGUGCGGAAGAGGCGAGUGGAAUUCCUGGUGUAGCGGUGGAAUGCGCAGAUAUCAGGAGGAACACCAAUAGCGAAGGCAGCUCGCUGGGACGGUAUUGACGCUAAGGCGCGAAAGCGUGGGGAGCAAACAGG